CGGGGCGUGGCUCAGCUUGGUAGAGCACCUGCUUUGGGAGCAGGGGGUCGCAGGUUCAAAUCCUGUCGCCCCGACCA
rnacentral:tRNA from 5 species